CGCACAUUGCGCCCCUCGGUAUUCCGUGGGGCAUGCCUGUUCGAGCGUCAUUUACACCCUCAAGCUCUGCUUGGUGUUGGGCGUCUGUCCCGCUCCCGUAGCGCGGACUCGCCUCAAAGUCAUUGGCGGCGGUCGUGCCGGCUCCUCGCGCAGCACAUUUGCGCUUCUCGGAGGCCCGGCGGAUCAGCGUCCAGCAAGACACCUUCAUGACUUGACCUCGGAUCAGGUAGGGAUACCCGCUGAACUUAA
rnacentral:misc_RNA from 1 species